rnacentral:rRNA from 1 species
AGAGUUUGAUCCUGGCUCAGGACGAACGCUGGCGGCGUGCUUAACACAUGCAAGUGGAGCGACGAACCAGGGCUUGCCCUGGGGCAGAGCCGCGAACGGGUGAGUAACACGUGGGCAACCUGCCCCGAUGACUGGGACAACCCGAGGAAACUCGGGCUAAUACCGGAUGUGCUCCCUCACACCAGUGAGGUGAGUAAAGGAAGCUUCGGCCUCCGCAUUGGGAUGGGCCCGCGGCCCAUUAGCUUGUUGGUGGGGUAAUGGCCUACCAAGGCAACGAUGGGUAGCUGGUCUGAGAGGACGAUCAGCCACACUGGGACUGAGACACGGCCCAGACUCCUACGGGAGGCAGCAGUGGGGAAUCUUGCACAAUGCGCGAAAGCGUGAUGCAGCAACGCCGCGUGAGGGAAGACGGCCUUCGGGUUGUAAACCUCUUUCAGUUGGGACGAAGGUCGGGCGGUUAAUAGCCGUUCCGGCUGACGGUACCUUCACAAGAAGCCCCGGCUAACUACGUGCCAGCAGCCGCGGUAAUACGUAGGGGGCAAGCGUUGUCCGGAAUCAUUGGGCGUAAAGAGCGUGUAGGCGGCUUGAUAAGUCGGCUGUGAAAGUCAGGGGCUCAACCCUUGAAUGCCGGCCGAUACUGUCAAGCUAGAGUCCGGAAGAGGCGAGUGGAAUUCCUGGUGUAGCGGUGAAAUGCGCAGAUAUCAGGAGGAACACCAAUGGCGAAGGCAGCUCGCUGGGACGGUACUGACGCUGAGACGCGAAAGCGUGGGGAGCAAACAGGAUUAGAUACCCUAGUAGUCC